AUCUACGGCCAUACCACUCUGAACACCCCUGAUCUCAUCUAACUUGGAAGGCAAGCAGGAUUAGGCUUGGUUAGUACGUGGAUGAGAGACUAUAGUUUACGUAACCAUUCUGUUCUUGUUU
rnacentral:rRNA from 10 species